rnacentral:rRNA from 1 species
AUACGGAGGGUGCAAGCGUUACUCGGAAUUACUGGGCGUAAAGGACGCGUAGGCGGUUUAGAAAGUCAGAUGUGAAAGCCUAUGGCUUAACCAUAGAACUGCAUCUGAAACUCCUAGACUAGAGUGAGGGAGAGGUCAGUGGAAUUAGUGGUGUAGGGGUAAAAUCCGUAGAGAUCACUAGGAAUACUCAUAGCGAAGGCGACUGACUGGAACUUUACUGACGCUGAGGCGUGAAAGCGUGGGGAGCAAACAGGAUUAGAAACCCGUGUAGUCC